CCUGCUCUGCCCUGGUAAGACGCCCCAGUAAGACGAUGCUUGCUUCCCCUUCGCCUUCUGCCAUGAUUUUAAGUUUCCUGAAGCCUCUCAGCCAUGCUUCCAGUUAAGCCUGCGGAACUGAGCUGGACAGAAGUUUGUAUUACAGGCUCGUAGCACCGGAGGUUUCUGAUGGAGCAGACAACUUGAGGAAGGCCGGCCUUGCUGAACACAGUGGACUGACCGGGUCUGGACCCCUCCCCCACAGGUGACUGUGCACUGCAGCAGAGAGAAGAGGAAGGAGUCAGAAACACUCUACUGAGAUCCUCCCAGAUAGAUAACGUACGUACAUAUUGAUACCUCUACCCGGACUCUGUGAUUAAUGGUGAGGUGGGGAGCACCCGAGUCCUCUGAACUGAACAGCUGUGCAGCAACAUCUGCUGGGUGGAAUGCUGGAAGGACCGCGUCACACACCAAUCCUAGCUAAAGUUUCACCCAAGUCUUCUGAAAAGAAGGGUGCCUCUAGCAUCUGAUAAGUUUAAAAGCGAAGUAUCCUUGGCUGAAUUGCCUGACAUUCUGAGCUUUAGGGACCAUACUACCCCUGAAUAGGAGUACUUAGCACCGUGCAUAGUAAUAGCUUGACAAAUAUUAGCUAUUACAUUGUUCAGAAACAUGAUGUAAGAACCAAAUGAGUAAAGGCUGUGAGCAGCAUUUCUAAAACAGAAAGACUCGAGUGGUAGUUUCCGUAGCAACAGCAAUGACCAACAUUAGCAGUGUAUAACUGGCCUGGUGGUAAGUGUUUUACAUACAUUUUCUGAUGAACAAAAACAAAUCAACUCUCCCAGAUAAUGAUUUUCUAGAUGUGAAAACUGAGGUUUACAGAUUGUUACCUGCCCAGGGCCAAAGAACAAAACCCAUUCUGCCUUCAGAACUUGAGCCCUUAGUUGUUUUUACUUAGACAACCAUUAACAGACUAAGAGCAACUGUUUGCAGAACGCCUCAUUUUUCGACAUCUCACUUGAAU
rnacentral:lncRNA from 1 species